rnacentral:rRNA from 1 species
CCUACGGGCGGCAGCAGUGGGGAAUAUUGGACAAUGGGGGCAACCCUGAUCCAGCCAUGCCGCGUGUGUGAAGAAGGCCCUCGGGUUGUAAAGCACUUUCAGUGAGGAAGAACGCCUGGUGGUUAAUACCCAUCAGGAAAGACAUCACUCACAGAAGAAGCACCGGCUAACUCCGUGCCAGCAGCCGCGGUAAUACGGAGGGUGCGAGCGUUAAUCGGAAUUACUGGGCGUAAAGCGCGCGUAGGUGGCUUGAUAAGCCGGUUGUGAAAGCCCCGGGCUCAACCUGGGAACGGCAUCCGGAACUGUCAAGCUAGAGUGCAGGAGAGGAAGGUAGAAUUCCCGGUGUAGCGGUGAAAUGCGUAGAGAUCGGGAGGAAGACCAGUGGCGAAGGCGGCCUUCUGGACUGACACUGACACUGAGGUGCGAAAGCGUGGGUAGCAAACAGGAUUAGAUACCCCGGUAGUC